AGCUAUAUGAAUUUUUAUUUAGUGAUUUCUGCCCGGUGAAAUUUUAACGGCCGCAGUACUUUGACUGUGCUAAGGUAGCAUAAUCAAUUGACUUUUAAUUGAAGUCUGGGAUGAAAGGAGAAUUGGGAAUAAACUGUUUCUAAAAAAAAUUUAUUAAAUUAUUAAUAAGGUGAAAAUACCUUAAAUUAAAAAAAAGACGAGAAGACCCUUAGAGUUUUUUUGUUGGGGUGACAAGUAAGCUAACCUUACUUCAAAUAAGAAAAAACUACCUAAGGGAUAACAGCAUAAUUUUUUUUUUAGAUUAUGACCUCGAUGUUGGACUAGGAAUAUUAUAACUAGAAGUUAAAUUUAUUAGUUCUGUUCGAACUUUUUCUCCU
rnacentral:rRNA from 1 species